AAGAUAUGUCCACCUCCUCCAUAUCUUCAACAUGGAGACUACAGCAUCAACAGUACAAAAGAUGAAGUGAUCACAGCAGUAUCUUACACUUGCCAGUCUUACUAUGUGCUUACCAAGCAACAGGACGUUUAUAAGUGUGUGGAUGGGAAUUGGGAGACUCCUCCGAAAUGCCUGAGACCUUGUGAAAUUGAUGACAUUGUCGAGAAGUACAAUCUACAGCUUCCUAAAGAAAAGGUCUACAUAAGGCAUGCAGAAAAGUAUAGACUGAACUGUAGAGAUGGGUGGAAUACUGGAAGUGAGAUGAAAACAUAUGUGGACGUGUCGUGCUCCAAUGGGAAUCUACAGAUUGACAAAAGUUGUAACUAGGUAUAAACUGGAGUGGUGACCGAGGUACCCCAUUCAGUAAAAAUAAAUUUAUUUUUAUACAAAAAAGGACAUCCCUAAAAGGAGGUCUCAAGAGAUUUUGUCAGGUUUAGCUCACUUCCGGUACAAAUUUGCCCCAUAAUACAGUUAAGUAUAUACUGUACACACACAAAUAAGUACAUGUAUCCCCUUCAGCUACAAAUGUAACAUAUAAAUAUUAUCUUGCAGAAAAUGUAUUUCUUUGUAUUUCUUGUCUGUGUCAACAUUCCUUCAACAAACUUUUUUUUUUUUUAAUUAAAAAAAAUAUUAUAAUAAUAAUUAGGCUGACUUUGGUGUGGAUUUUUAGUUCAACAUAUUGCUCACAUUGUGUUUUAUUAAAGCAAAACAUAUUUUGCUCACAAUUUUGAACCAAAGUGACACACUCAUGACUGUCUUCUGUGGAAUACCAACUACCUUGCAACCUUUAUAGUGUCACUGAUAGAAAACAGGUGUGGUGUGAUAAUGAGUUCUUAGGCAGGGGUUAUGGUAAACUGGUGUCCGGAGAAAACA